CGGGUGAUUAAUGCAUAGGAAUCUACCUAGUAGUAUGGGAUAGCCACUAGAAAUGGUGGGUAAUACUGUAUAAUCCCUGCGGGGGAAAGAUUUAUCGCUAUUAGAUGAGCCUAUGUUAGAUUAGCUAGUUGGUAGGGUAAAGGCCUACCAAGGCGAUGAUCUAUAGCUGGUCUGAGAGGAUGAUCAGCCACACUGGAACUGAGAUACGGUCCAGACUCCUACGGGAGGCAGCAGUGGGGAAUAUUGGACAAUGGGCGCAAGCCUGAUCCAGCUAUGCCGCGUGAGUGAGGAAGGCCUUAGGGUUGUAAAACUCUUUCAGUAGGGAAGAUAAUGACGGUACCUACAGAAGAAGUCCCGGCAAACUCCGUGCCAGCAGCCGCGGUAAUACGGAGGGGGCAAGCGUUGUUCGGAAUUAUUGGGCGUAAAGGGCAUGUAGGCGGUUCGG
rnacentral:rRNA from 1 species